AGAGUUUGAUCCUGGCUCAGGACGAACGCUGGCGGCGUGCCUAAUACAUGCAAGUCGAACGCUUCUUUCCUCCCGAGUGCUUGCACUCAAUUGGAAAGAGGAGUGGCGGACGGGUGAGUAACACGUGGGUAACCUACCCAUCAGAGGGGGAUAACACUUGGAAACAGGUGCUAAUACCGCAUAACAGUUUAUGCCGCAUGGCAUAAGAGUGAAAGGCGCUUUCGGGUGUCGCUGAUGGAUGGACCCGCGGUGCAUUAGCUAGUUGGUGAGGUAACGGCUCACCAAGGCCACGAUGCAUAGCCGACCUGAGAGGGUGAUCGGCCACACUGGGACUGAGACACGGCCCAGACUCCUACGGGAGGCAGCAGUAGGGAAUCUUCGGCAAUGGACGAAAGUCUGACCGAGCAACGCCGCGUGAGUGAAGAAGGUUUUCGGAUCGUAAAACUCUGUUGUUAGAGAAGAACAAGGACGUUAGUAACUGAACGUCCCCUGACGGUAUCUAACCAGAAAGCCACGGCUAACUACGUGCCAGCAGCCGCGGUAAUACGUAGGUGGCAAGCGUUGUCCGGAUUUAUUGGGCGUAAAGCGAGCGCAGGCGGUUUCUUAAGUCUGAUGUGAAAGCCCCCGGCUCAACCGGGGAGGGUCAUUGGAAACUGGGAGACUUGAGUGCAGAAGAGGAGAGUGGAAUUCCAUGUGUAGCGGUGAAAUGCGUAGAUAUAUGGAGGAACACCAGUGGCGAAGGCGGCUCUCUGGUCUGUAACUGACGCUGAGGCUCGAAAGCGUGGGGAGCAAACAGGAUUAGAUACCCUGGUAGUCCACGCCGUAAACGAUGAGUGCUAAGUGUUGGAGGGUUUCCGCCCUUCAGUGCUGCAGCAAACGCAUUAAGCACUCCGCCUGGGGAGUACGACCGCAAGGUUGAAACUCAAAGGAAUUGACGGGGGCCCGCACAAGCGGUGGAGUAUGUGGUUUAAUUCGACGCAACGCGAAGAACCUUACCAGGUCUUGACAUUGAUGGACAGAACUAGAGAUAGUUCCUCUUCUUCGGAAGCCAGAAAACAGGUGGUGCACGGUUGUCGUCAGCUCGUGUCGUGAGAUGUUGGGUUAAGUCCCGCAACGAGCGCAACCCUUAUUGUUAGUUGCCAUCAUUUAGUUGGGCACUCUAGCGAGACUGCCGGUGACAAACCGGAGGAAGGUGGGGAUGACGUCAAAUCAUCAUGCCCCUUAUGACCUGGGCUACACACGUGCUACAAUGGGAAGUACAACGAGUCGCUAGACCGCGAGGUCAUGCAAAUCUCUUAAAGCUUCUCUCAGUUCGGAUUGCAGGCUGCAACUCGCCUGCAUGAAGCCGGAAUCGCUAGUAAUCGCGGAUCAGCACGCCGCGGUGAAUACGUUCCCGGGCCUUGUACACACCGCCCGUCACACCACGAGAGUUUGUAACACCCGAAGUCGGUGAGGUAACCUUUUUGGAGCCAGCCGCCUAAGGUGGGAUAGAUGAUUGGGGUGAAGUCGUAACAAGGUAGCCGUAUCGGAAGGUGCGGCUG
rnacentral:rRNA from 1 species